rnacentral:rRNA from 1 species
AGAACGAACGCUGGCGGCAGGCCUCAAACAUGCAAGUCUAGGGGGUGUAGCAAUACAUCACCGGCGGACGGGUGCGUAACACGUGGGAAUGUACUUACUGGUACGGAACAACUCAGGGAAACUUGAGCUAAUACCGCAUAAGCCCGAAAGGGGAAAGAUUUAUCGCCAGUAAAUCAGCCCGCGUCCGAUUAGCUAGUUGGUGGGGUAAAGGCUCACCAAGGCUCCGAUCGGUAGCUGUUCUGAGAGGAAGAUCAGCCACACUGGGACUGAGACACGGCCCAGACUCCUACGGGAGGCAGCAGUUGGGAAUCUUGGACAAUGGGGGAAACCCUGAUCCAGCCAUGCCGCGUGAGUGAUGAAGGCCUUAGGGUUGUAAAACUCUUUCGACGGGGACGAUAAUGACGGUACCCGUAGAAGAAGCUCCGGCUAACUUCGCGCCAGCAGCCGC